AGAGUUUGAUCCUGGCUCAGAACGAACGUUCGCGGCGCGCUUAACACAUGCAAGUCGAACGAGAAAGUCCCUUCGGGGGCGAGUACAGUGGCGCACGGGUGAGUAACACGUGGGUUAUCUACCUAUUGGUGGGGGACAACAUCUUGAAAAGGGUGCUAAUACCGCAUAAGUCCGCUUCGGUGUGGGAAAGGUGGCCAAAGCUAUCGCCAGUAGAUGAGCCCGCGUCCCAUCAGCUUGUUGGCAGGGUAAUGGCCUACCAAGGCUACAACGGGUAGCUGGUCUGAGAGGAUGACCACCCACACUGGAACUGAGACACGGUCCAGACUCCUACGGGAGGCAGCAGUGGGGAAUAUUGCGCAAUGGGCGAAAGCCUGACGCAGCGACGCCGCGUGGGUGAUGAAGGUUUUCGGAUCGUAAAGCCCUGUGGNGAGAGGAAAGAAAAACUUGGGAGAAUAAUACCUCCUGAGCCUGACGGUACCUCUCCAGAAAAGCACCGGCUAACUCCGUGCCAGCACCGCGGUAAUACGGAGGGUGCGAACGUUGUUCGGAAUUACUGGGCGUAAAGCGCGUGUAGGCGGCACAGUAUGUCAGAUGUGAAAGCCCUCGGCUUAACCGGGGAAGUGCAUUUGAAACUGCUGAGCUAGAGUACGGGAGAGGGUUGUAGAAUUCCCGGUGUAGAGGUGAAAUUCGUAGAUAUCGGGAGGAAUACCAGUGGCGAAGGCGGCAACCUGGACCGAUACUGACGCUGAGACGCGAAAGCGUGGGGAGCAAACAGGAUUAGAUACCCUGGUAGUC
rnacentral:rRNA from 1 species